rnacentral:rRNA from 1 species
GAUGAACGCUAGCUACAGGCUUAACACAUGCAAGUCGAGGGGAAACGAUAGAGAAAGCUUGCUUUUUCUAGGCGUCGACCGGCGCACGGGUGAGUAACGCGUAUCCAACCUGCCCAUCACUUGGGGAUAACCUUGCGAAAGUAAGACUAAUACCCAAUGACGUCUCUAGAAGACAUCUGAAAGAGAUUAAAGAUUUAUCGGUGAUGGAUGGGGAUGCGUCUGAUUAGCUUGUUGGCGGGGUAACGGCCCACCGAAGGCGACGAUCAGUAGGGGUUCUGAGAGGAAGGUCCCCCACAUUGGAACUGAGACACGGUCCAAACUCCUACGGGAGGCAGCAGUGAGGAUAUUGGUCAAUGGGGGGAAAACCCUGGAUGCAGCGACGCGCGU